GGAGGCAGCAGUAGGGAAUCUUCCACCAAUGGGACGAAAGUCUGAUGGAGCAACGCCGCGUGAGUGAAGAAGGGUUUCGGCUCGUAAAACUCUGUUGUUAAAGAAGAACAUAUCUGAGAGUAACUGUUCAGGUAUUGACGGUAUUUAACCAGAAAGCCACGGCUAACUACGUGCCAGCAGCCGCGGUAAUACGUAGGUGGCAAGCGUUGUCCGGAUUUAUUGGGCGUAAAGCGAGCGCAGGCGGUUUUUUAAGUCUGAUGUGAAAGCCUUCGGCUCAACCGAAGAAGUGCAUCGGAAACUGGGAAACUUGAGUGCAGAAGAGGACAGUGGAACUCCAUGUGUAGCGGUGAAAUGCGUAGAUAUAUGGAAGAACACCAGUGGCGAAGGCGGCUGUCUGGUCUGUAACUGACGCUGAGGCUCGAAAGUAUGGGUAGCAAACAGGAUUAGAUACCCUGGUAGUCCAUACCGUAAACGAUGAAUGCUAAGUGUUGGAGGGUUUCCGCCCUUCAGUGCUGCAGCUAACGCAUUAAGCAUUCCGCCUGGGGAGUACGGCCGCAAGGCUGAAACUCAAAGGAAUUGACGGGGGCCCGCACAAGCGGUGGAGCAUGUGGUUUAAUUCGAAGCUACGCGAAGAACCUUACCAGGUCUUGACAUACUAUGCAAAUCUAAGAGAUUAGACGUUCCCUUCGGGGACAUGGAUACAGGUGGUGCAUGGUUGUCGUCAGCUCGUGUCGUGAGAUGUUGGGUUAAGUCCCGCAACGAGCGCAACCCUUAUUAUCAGUUGCCAGCAUUAAGUUGGGCACUCUGGUGAGACUGCCGGUGACAAACCGGAGGAAGGUGGGGAUGACGUCAAAUCAUCAUGCCCCUUAUGACCUGGGCUACACACGUGCUACAAUGGAUGGUACAACGAGUUGCGAACUCGCGAGAGUAAGCUAAUCUCUUAAAGCCAUUCUCAGUUCGGAUUGUAGGCUGCAACUCGCCUACAUGAAGUCGGAAUCGCUAGUAAUCGCGGAUCAGCAUGCCGCGGUGAAUACGUUCCCGGGCCUUGUACACACCGCCCGUCACACCAUGAGAGUUUGUAACACCCAAAGUCGGUGGGG
rnacentral:rRNA from 2 species